GACGAACGCUGGCGGCGUGCCUAACACAUGCAAGUCGAACGGGUGAGAGGAGCUUGCUCCUUGAUCUAGUGGCGAACGGGUGAGUAACGCGUGAGAAACCUGCCUUUCAGUGGGGGACAACAGUUGGAAACGACUGCUAAUACCGCAUAAGCGCACAGCUUCGCAUGAAGCGGUGUGAAAAACUCCGGUGGUGUGAGAUGGACCCGCGUCUGAUUAGCUUGUUGGUGGGGUAACGGCCCACCAAGGCGACGAUCCAUAGCCGACCUGAGAGGGCGACCGGCCACAUUGGGACUGAGACACGGCCCAGGCUCCUACGGGAGGCAGCAGUGGGGAAUAUUGCACAAUGGGGGGAAACCCUGAUGCAGCAACGCCGCGUGAAGGAAGACGGUCUUCGGAUUGAAACUUUGUCUUAGUGAAGAACAUGACGGUAGCUAAGGAGAAAGCCACGGCUAACUACGUG
rnacentral:rRNA from 1 species